GGAAGAAGGUAUAGCAAUAGCUAAUUGUAUUAGCAAAUAGUUUUUACAAUAUCGAUUUAAUCGACUAAAAUUCUAGGUAGAUUUAUGAUGAUGACAUUAUCUAUCUAUGUGUCUUGACCAAAUUUCGUGCCAGCAGUCGCGGUAAGACGUAAGAGACUAGUGUUAUUCAUCUUUAAUAGGUUUAAAGCGUACCUAGACGGUAAUUAAAGCCUAUAUCAGGAACUUGUUUACUAGAGUUAAAUGUAAGGGUGUAUUAAAGUACUGUUGAGUGUAGAGAUGAAAUUCGUUGAUACCAAAUAAUUGGCACAGGUAUAGGCGAAAGCAUCACUUUAUGUAAUAACUGACGUUGACGGACGAAGGCUUUGUGUCGCGAACAGGAUUAGAUACCCCAGUAGUCUUAGCAGAAAACUAUGAGUGUCAUAGGUUAGAUUUUAUUUGGUCUAUAAAUGAAAGUGUAAGCACUCCACCUCAAGAGUAAUUUGGCAACAUUGGAACUGAAAUCAUUAGACCGUUUCUGAAACCAGUAGUGAAGUAUGUUGUUUAAUUUGAUAAUCCGCAAAGAACCUUACCACAAUUUGAAUAUAAAUGAUUUAUUUUUACAAGCGUUGCACGGCUGUCUUCAGUUAAUGUCGUGAGAUAUUGGUUUAUUCCAUUAAAUUAACGUAAACCCGUACUUUAUUUUUAUAUAAAGUUGUUCAUUCGCUAUAAUGGAUGUGAUAACAGGGACUAAGACAAGUCAUCAUGGCCUAAAUAUUGUGG
rnacentral:rRNA from 1 species